CCUACGGGUGGCAGCAGUAGGGAAUUUUCGUCAAUGGGCGCAAGCCUGAACGAGCAAUGCCGCGUGAACGAGGAAAGUCUUCGGAUCGUAAAGCUCUGUUGAAGGGGAAAAGGAGCGGAGAGAGGAAACGGUCUCCGAUUGAUAUUACCCUUCGAGGAAGUCACGGCUAACUACGUGCCAGCAGCCGCGGUAAUACGUAGGUGGCGAGCGUUAUCCGGAAUGAUUGGGCGGAAAGGGUGCGUAGGCGGCCUGCUAAGUCUGGAGUGAAAGGUACCGGCUCAACCGGUACAGGCUCUGGGAACUGGCGAGCUAGGGGGCAGGAGGGGGCGGGGGAACUCCAUGUGUAGCGGUAAAAUGCGUAGGUAUAUGGGAGGACACCAGUGGCGAAGGCGGCCGCCUGGCCUGUUGACUGACGCUGAGGCACGAAAGCGUGGGGAGCAAAUAGGAUUAGAUACCCCAGUAGUC
rnacentral:rRNA from 1 species